rnacentral:rRNA from 1 species
UCAAGAAACUUCCACAAUGGGCGAAAGCCUGAUGGAGCGACGUCGCGUGAUGGACGAAGUGCUUCGGCACGUAAACAUCUUUUAUGUGGGAUGAAAUUAUUGACAGUACCACAUGAAUAAGGGGCUCCUAACUCUGUGCCAGCAGGAGCGGUAAUACAGAGGCCCCAAGCGUUAUCCGGAAUCACUGGGCGUAAAGGGUGUCGAGGCGGUUGUAUUAGUCGUUCGUAAAAUCUACGAGCUUAACUUGUAGGCGGCGAACGAAACGGUACGACUUGAGGUUUGGAGAGGUGCGUGGAACUCACGGUGUAGGGGUGAAAUCCGUUGAUAUCGUGGGGAACACCAAAGGCGAAGGCAGCGCACUGGCCAAAUCUGACGCUCACACACGAAAGCUAGGGUAGCGAAGAGGAUUAGAUACCCCCGUAGUCCCUGAGCGGGCUGGCAAGGCGC